ACGCGAAGAAACCUUACCUGGGCUUGACAUGUAGGUGACCGCCGUGGAAACACGGUUUUCCUUCGGGACACCUUCACAGGUGGUGCAUGGCUGUCGUCAGCUCGUGUCGUGAGAUGUUGGGUUAAGUCCCGCAACGAGCGCAACCCCCGUUCCAUGUUGCCAGCAUUCAGUUGGGGACUCAUGGGAGACUGCCGGUGACAAACCGGAGGAAGGUGGGGAUGACGUCAAGUCAUCAUGCCCCUUAUGUCCAGGGCUACACACGUGCUACAUUGGCGCAUACAAAGGGUUGCAAUACCGUGAGGUGGAGCGAAUCCCAUAAAGUGCGUCUCGGUUCGGAUUGGAGGCUGAAACUCGCCUCCAUGAAGGUGGAGUUGCUAGUAAUCGAGGAUCACAAAUGCCGCGGUGAAUACAUACCCGGUAUAUGUUACACCCCG
rnacentral:rRNA from 1 species